UGGGGAAUAUUGCACAAUGGGCGCAAGCCUGAUGCAGCGACGCCGCGUGAGGGAUGACGGCCUUCGGGUUGUAAACCUCUUUCAGCAGGGACGAAGCGGAAGUGACGGUACCUGCAGAAGAAGCGCCGGCCAACUACGUGCCAGCAGCCGCGGUAAGACGUAGGGCGCGAGCGUUGUCCGGAUUUAUUGGGCGUAAAGAGCUCGUAGGCGGCUUGUCGCGUCGACUGUGAAAACCCGCGGCUCAACUGCGGGCCUGCAGCCGAUACGGGCAGGCUAGAGUUCGGUAGGGGAGACUGGAAUUCCUGGUGUAGCGGUGAAAUGCGCAGAUAUCAGGAGGAACACCGGUGGCGAAGGCGGGUCUCUGGGCCGAUACUGACGCUGAGGAGCGAAAGCGUGGGGAGCGAACA
rnacentral:rRNA from 1 species